rnacentral:tRNA from 1 species
CCCUCGGUCGUCUAGUUGGUUCAUGGCGUCUGGCUGUAAACCAGAAUGUCGCGCGUUCGACUCGCGCCUGAGGGA